UACGGGGGGGCAAGCGUUGUUCGGAAUUACUGGGCGUAAAGGGCUCGUAGGCGGCCAACUAAGUCAGACGUGAAAUCCCUCGGCUUAACCGGGGAACUGCAUCUGAUACUGGAUGGCUUGAGUUCGGGAGAGGGAUGCGGAAUUCCAGGUGUAGCGGUGAAAUGCGUAGAUAUCGGGAGGAACACCUGUGGCGAAAGCGGCGCACUGGACCACAACUGACGCUGAGGCGCGAAAGCUAGGGGAGCAAACAGG
rnacentral:rRNA from 1 species